rnacentral:lncRNA from 1 species
CCAUUGAUAAUUUUAGCCUGCCAUUUUCAAGUUAUCGUUUGAUUCAGUCCUUUCUUCACCAUGAUACAGUAAAAAUUGAUGAGAAAAGCUUUGUUCAAUGGUAGCAACAUAUUCGUUUAAUCGUUGAGGGCUAUGAGUUGCUAGGGUUUUCAGAAGGUACAUUACCUGUUCCGCCGAAGCCUAUGGCAUCUCCGGAUGGUGCUUUAACUCCUAAUCUCGAUGCUUUCGCCUUCGUUCAGCAAGAUAAACUCCUCGUAACUUGGUUGCUUUCCAUGAUUAGUGCGUCUCUACUGUCAUGUUUUACAGCCGCUAAGAUGACCUGUAAUGUCUGGACUAUUCUGAAUCGACUGUUCACGGCAUCUACUGGUGCUAAGGUGUCUUGUGUUUGGCAUGAAUUGCACUCCGUAACAAACGGUGAGCUCUCUGUUAAAUAAUACAUUGCAAAAAUUCAGAACCUUUGUGCUUUGCUUGAAGCCUCUAGUUCUAGUGUUUCAGAGACUGAAAAAGUAAAAAUUAUUCUUGCAGGAUUGUCGUCUGAGUUUGAUGUUGUGUUAACUUUGGCGUCAUUUUCAUCGGAGGCCCUUCCGUUCUAGAAAUUGGUCGAUGUACUGUUAGAGAUCGAAAGUCGCAAAACACAGACGAUGAAUGAUGCGCCAAUGCAUGCCAAUCUCGUCGAAACUCCUCCAAGGACAGAGUCUAGUCGGG